GAUGAAGAACGCAGCGAAAUGCGAUAAGUAAUGUGAAUUGCAGAAUUCAGUGAAUCAUCGAAUCUUUGAACGCACAUUGCGCCCGCCAGUAUUCUGGCGGGCAUGCCUGUCCGAGCGUCAUUUCAACCCUCGAACCCCUCCGGGGGGUCGGCGUUGGGGAUCGGCCCUGCCUCUGGCGGUGGCCGUCUCCGAAAUACAGUGGCGGUCUCGCCGCAGCCUCUCCUGCGCAGUAGUUUGCACACUCGCAUCGGGAGCGCGGCGCGUCCACAGCCGUUAAACACCCAACUUCUGAAAUGUUGACCUCGGAUCAGGUAGGAAUACCCGCUGAACUUAAGCAUAUCAAAAGCGGAGGA
rnacentral:misc_RNA from 1 species